AGAGAUCUUGAAUUCCGGAAAACAUAGCUUAAGCAUCUUUAUGGCCUCCAAUUCAGUUGCAAAACCUGGCCAAACUUGAGGCUCUCUUAUCAUUUCUAUUAGAUCCUUGCAGUCUGUUCCAAAGCUCUGACACGGGAAAUGUAGAAAUAUGCUUUCCAUCACUUAUCGCAGCCCCUCCACUUCCGAAUGUAAGACAGAUUCUCGCCUAAUUAAGUUACGCAUUCCCAUCAGUUGUAUUUGUUCUAGGCUAUCCUUCCAAACCCAUCUGCAACCAUUAAAAUGUGCCAUUGAACUCCAUGAUCCAUCCACCAUACAUAUAUUUUCCAAGCAUAUGGCUUGGGAUUCCUAGUUAUGAAGCUCUUGUUGGGUUUCCGGUACCAGCUCAUUCGCAUUAAACCACGCCUAGCAUUCACUCUCAUCAUAUCUGACUAGUUCCAUAGGAUCUUUGUCUAUUCUUCUAAAAAGUUUAUCAUUUUGGACCUUCCAGAUAUACCAUAUUAUCCAAAUUCUGGUUGAGCAAUGUCAUUCUUCCUCCAGAACAGAUGGUCCAUGUUGGCAUAAAUGCUAGACAAAGGAAAGAUGUCAGAAGCAGAUGGUAUUGAUGCUAGGGACCAUACUUAUAGAGUUGGAGAACAUUCAAAUAUGGCAUGAGUAGCAGUUUCUUCUGGCUCUCCACAUCUUGGACAGUAAUUAUCGCAUCUCAUGUUCCGGUGUAUUAAAUUUCUCGCACUAAUUUUUUUUUUUUUUUUUUACAGCAAAUAUUUACAAACUCAUAUUAUUCUCGCAAAACUGCAUUGCAUUGUGUAGAAGUUAUCCAUUUUUAGCAGUUUUUUCAACCAAAACAUACGAAACUUAUGUACACUAUUGUUUAAAAAAUUUACACCAUUAGAUUUUCUAUAGUAUUGAAUAAACAAACAAAGAAAACAAAAUUACAUGUAUGUUUAAUAAAUG
rnacentral:lncRNA from 1 species